rnacentral:lncRNA from 1 species
CGGGACCCCCAGGAAAUCUUCUUACCAACUCUCAGCCAUCAAGGGUAUCCGGGGCGUGGGUGGGGGUGGCUGGCUUCUUGGGAGGGGGGCAUCCAGGAGGCCAAACGGGGUGGGCAGCAGGCGGGGCGGAAAGGGGCGAGCAGGUAGAAGGUUAUUACGGAAUUGCUUCCAUAAAACCUGUGGCUGUUGUAAAACUCUGCUUUCCAAAGACUUUAUUUCCUCCUUUCUCUCUAACAUCCCCCUUUUUUCUUCUUUUACAGCACUUUUCCUGAGAGGGGGUGGCUGAGGGACACCAUGGAUGGCUCGAAGACUGGGGCAGGUUGGGAACCAGCAGCCUGAGAAGCAAGACCCAGCUGCCAGUAAACAACUCGUCUGAAGAACUGGACCCAGGACUGUAGGUGAAAGGGGCUCAGCGCUGGCCCUGGCGACUCAGAUUCCAGAAACUUCUGUUUUUCUAACCAACUCCAGCUCAGGCAGGGCCGCUUGGAGAUACCUGGUUGGCAUCUGUCACUGAAGUGGGGACUCUCCGCAGAUGAAAGGACUCACAGCUUCGCCCCGUUACAAAGCCCUUCAAGGUCCCCAGCUCUAAGACUGGGCUGUAGCCAGGGGAGUGGGGAGACGUGGUGCGGAGAAAGAAAGCAACAAAGAGAUGGAAAAGGGGUGUCAGAAAAGCCAGUUUAUAACCUUAGCAGCAGCAUCCUGGCAAAGGCCUGGGACCCUCGAAGGCCUGGAUGAAGAAGACCGGCUCACCACGACAUGAACCCAGGCGAGGGCCUGUGGCA